UUCUGGCUCAGAACGAACGCUGGCAGCGUGGAUUAGGCAUGCAAGUCGAACGGGAUCGGGAAGGUAGCAAGUAUCGGCCCGUGAGAGUGGCGGAAGGGCGAGGAACACGUGAGCAACCUGUCCUUGAGGUGGGGAAAACCGUUGGAAACGACGGCUAAUACCGAAUGCGGCGCCGGGAGACAUCUUCCGAGCGCUAAAGGGGGCCGCAAGGCUCCCCCUCUUCGAGGGGCUCGCGCACCAUCAGCUUGUUGGCGGGGUAACGGCCCACCAAGGCUCACGGUUAGCUGGUCUGAGAGGAUGGCCAGCCGCACUGGGACUGAGAUACUGCCCAGACUCCUACGGGAGGCUGCAGUCGGGGAUCAUUCGCAAUGGGGGAAACCCUGACGAUGCGACGCUGCGUGGAGGAUGAAGGCCCUCGGGUCGUAAACUCCUGUCAUGAGGGAAAAGGCGAGGGGACCCAACACGUCCCUUAGUUGAUGGUACCUCAAGAGGAACGGGCGGCUAACUCUGUGCCAGCCGCCGC
rnacentral:rRNA from 1 species